rnacentral:lncRNA from 12 species
AUGAUUCUGUGUUUUUGGAGGAAUUGGAGGAUAAUCCCAAGGCAUUUCAUUUCUUUCCACAGAGCUAAUCCCUUCUUCAGAGCACAGCUCAUUUUCAAGUGGCUGCUGCCGCUUUCCCGCCCCCCCUUCAGUGCGACAGCCUCAGAGCUGGUGGAGAAGCAGAGCGCUUGCAGCUGGAGAUUGGACAAUUCAGAGAGCCCUGGAGGAGGGGGAGAGGGCUUCGUUUCCAGUGUGUACUUGCCACCUAGUGACCAUAGUGAAAUGUGUGGCUUCCUACCUUGUGUUAUGUUACAUUGCCCUUCCCUGGAAAACGAAGUUCCUGGAAAUCAAGAUGGUGAUACUUGUGCUUCUCAGCUCAGCCUGGUAGCCUGA